rnacentral:rRNA from 1 species
AAUCAACGCUGGCGGCGUGCCUCAGACAUGCAAGUCGAACGCGAAAUUUCCCUUCGGGGAGAAAGUAGAGUGGCGCACGGGUGAGUAACACGUAGGUAAUUUGCCUUUGGGUGGGAAUAACUCAGGGAAACUUGAGCUAAUACCGCAUAAUGCAGCGGCUCGACAUCGAGACAGUUGUUAAAGCGGGGGAUUGGAGCAAUCCGACCUCGCGCCUAAAGAGAAGCCUGCGGCAGAUUAGCUAGUUGGUAAGGUAAUGGCUUACCAAGGCGACGAUCUGUAACCCGGCCUGAGAGGGCGGUCGGUCACACUGACACUGACAUACGGGUCAGACUCCUACGGGAGGCAGCAGUCGGGAAUUUUGGGCAAUGGGCGCAAGCCUGACCCAGCAACGCCGCGUGAAGGAUGAAAUUUUUCGGAAUGUAAACUUCGCAAGAACAGGAAGAAUAAGUGUGGGACAAUACCCCACAUGAUGACGGUACUGUUUGUAAG